AGGAGACCAGAGAGGCAGGUGGCGGUUGCCGGUCCGGGAAUCUGGGCCAGUCCGCCUUCCUCCAAGGCAUCAGAGGGGAGGGAUUUCAAGGGUCCUCAAAGGUUCCCCUUCUUAAGCAAUGCAUAGCACCCAUCCUAGGAGCGUCCGUCCGUUCACUUGUAUGUCUGUCCGAAUGGAAGUGCCUCCUUGGGCCAGGUGCGGUGGCUCACGCCUAUAAUCCCAGCACUUUGGGAGGCCAAGGCGGGCAGAUCACUUGAGGUCAGGAGUUGGAGACCAGCCUGGCCAACAUGGUGAAACCUCGUCUCUACUAAAAAACAAAAAAUUAGCCAGGCGUGGUGGCGCAUGCCUGUAAUCCCAGCUACUUGAGAGGCUGAGGCAGGAGAAUCGCUUGAAUCGGGGAGGCAGAGGUUGCAAUGAGCUGAGGUAGCACCACUGCACUCCAGCCUGAGUGACAGAGUGAGACUCAACUAUAAACAAACAAACAAACAAACAAAUAAAUAAAGGGCCUCCUUGGAGGCCCAACACAUCAGGGACAUCUCAUCCACCGCUUACUCCUCCCAAGCCCAGCAGAGCAGGGAGGGUGGCGGAGCAUUUGCCCAGUGUGCACGGCUAAUGCCAUCCCGUCCACGUGAUCAAGUGGUACCUGGAAGAACCUGACAAGGCAGCUCCAGACUAAGGACAAGUCAACCCCUUUUCUAGCCUGUUUCCUCAUGGUGAACUGACAGGGUGGGACUAGAACUCACAAGUGGCCAGGCCAGCAUUGGAAGCCAGCUCUGCCUGCCCGCACAGGCCUGGACGCCCAGCCACAACCUGGUGUCCCCUCUGCCCAGCUCUCGCCUUGGCUCUCAAUCAUUAAUGAAGAUGUGAAGUGAGACACCAAUCCUCACAGCCCCCACCACGUGCUCCCUCCCAUGCCUGGCGCUGCUGGAGUCAUUAUCCUUCCUGGUGUGACAGGGUCAGAACCAAACCAAUUUGCAUCAGUCUUUGGUGAUGUUGUGAAGCGUCGCCUGCCCUGCAAUCCUGCUGCUGUAACAACUGCUUCAGCUGUCUGUUCUGGAGUGCUCUUCGCUCCUUUGGAAGACUGAUCAGAUCUGGCCACCCCAGUUCUGGCUGAAAGCCCUAGAGCGACCGCAAUGGUAGGGCAGGAUUCAGGGCUACACAUGGCUGACAUUGUUCCUUCUUCGUUUUGCUCUUCUGAGCUGGACAGAAAGCAGUCCCUCUUUGGAAAACAGGAUGGACAAGUGCAUACAUUAGUGGAGGACGCAGCAGAUGUGGCAGGCAUAGAAUUUUACUCAUUGCUCCAUCUAUUUCUAUCAAGGAAAAUGGGGAGUGCUCCCAAUUUCCGCCCAUUUUCUAGCCCAGGCCUAGUCAGAUGUGUGGGCUUGUAUAUUCUGGGAACCUGG
rnacentral:lncRNA from 1 species